rnacentral:lncRNA from 1 species
CUAAACCAAUUGACCCGUCCUCUAUUCUGUUGACCCAAUUAUCGGGAAUCCCCACACACACACUGCACCCCUUUGGGUCCCCUCUUUCUUUCUUUCUUCUUCCUAACCCACCACCCCAUUUCUCCUCUCUUUCUCUUUUCUCUUUAAUGUAGGAGUGUAAUUUGGUUUCUUAACGCUAGGCAAGUAUUCUCAGAGCAACAUCUAAGUCAUAUCUCAUAAUAUAGCAUCUUUGUAAAAGCAUGUCACCCAUCCCAAACUGUACAGAUAAGCGCUACACUUGAAAUAAUCUCCAAAAAUUACUAAGUUGGUUAUAGAACCUACUAUUUGGAUAAGACAUAGAAAGUACUGGUCGAUUAAAUUGGUAAUUGCUACUGUUUGAAGCCUUAAAAAAAUUAAAAUCAAUUGGUUUGAGAGGUAAGUAAUCCCCACUUCCAAUUCCAAUUGAGAGAUUGUGAGUUCGAGUCUUGUGUAAGUUCUUGGAGUGAAGAAUGCUGGGGGUCUAUUUGGAAAUAGCCUCUCUACCCUAGGGUAGGGUUAAAAUCUGCACACUGCCCUCUUCAGACCCCACUUAAUCGGAUUAUACUGGAUUGUUAUUGUUGUUGUUGGUUUGAGAGGUAAAAUGUGAAGGAGAAGACUGGCAGCCAGUAAAGAAACUUUGAGGUUUGAGACAAAAAAUUUGGAUCACCAAGUUUGUAGUAUUUUUAUUUGGAUCUUAUCGGGGUUUGUUGGGGGUCUCUUAGGGAGUUCAUAACUCCAAUUUCGGGUGAUCCGUUGAAGG